AGGUCUCUGGGCCAUUACUGACACUGAGAAGCGAAAGCAUGGGUAGCGAACAGGAUUAGAUACCCUGGUAGUCCAUGCCGUAAACGUUGGGCACUAGGUGUGGGGGACAUUCCACGUUUUCCGCGCCGUAGCUAACGCAUUAAGUGCCCCGCCUGGGGAGUACGGCCGCAAGGCUAAAACUCAAAGGAAUUGACGGGGGCCCGCACAAGCGGCGGAGCAUGCUGAUUAAUUCGAUGC
rnacentral:rRNA from 1 species